rnacentral:rRNA from 1 species
UACGUAGGGGGCGAGCGUUGUCCGGAUUUAUUGGGCGUAAAGAGCGUGUAGGCGGCCGUACAGGUCAGCUGUGAAAACUCGAGGCUCAACCUCGAGACGUCGGUUGAAACCGUACGGCUAGAGUCCGGAAGAGGAGAGUGGAAUUCCCGGUGUAGCGGUGAAAUGCGCAGAUAUCGGGAGGAACACCAGUGGCGAAGGCGGUUGCCUGGAGCUUUGCUGACGCUGAUGCGCGAAAGCGUGGGGAGCGAUCCGG